rnacentral:lncRNA from 1 species
CCUACAUUCCUGGUAGGGAAUGGCCUCGCUGGGUUGUGGAGUGUGUGAGUUCCUCUGAAAUGCAUUGGUGUGUCUUUCUCAAUGUUCUGCUCAUUUAAGUGAAUCCAUAAAUUAGACCUUGAAAGCAGCGGAAGUUCUCGGGCAGCCAGGGAGUGAGAACGCUGCAGAACCCACUUAUAAUCCUGGCCAGGUUCUGGGCACGGGCUGCUCCCUGGGCUCUCUGAAUGCUACGGAAAUGAAGGCUGGGACGCCUCUCCCGAGCCCCUGGCCUCUCCUCAUCCCCUGGCACAAGAGGGAGAAAGCUCUUUGGGGUCACUGUCAGCCCCCUCAGAGCCCCGAGCCAAAGGGAGAGAGCAGCCCGGCACAGGGAACGGCAGGAUUGCUGAGCUGCCCCCGUGUGGUGCCAGGGGGCCCAGGGGCCCCACAGGCAACCCCACCCCGGGCCAGGCGGUGUGGCCCACAUGAGAGCUGACAGCAGCCUCUGGAUGUACUCCCGUGCAUCUGGAAGGGGAGAGAAUCACAGACGAUGUAAUUUCAACAAGGACGAUUUCGGUCUUUUGCAAAGACCCUUCUAUUAGCAGGAGCAGCUUGGAUGCUCCUCCUCAUGGCCAGUCUCCAGAGAGGCCUACUGCUCACCAGAUGUGUGGAUGAACAAACCUGAACAGCCUGGAGGCUGGUGAUAUCUACCCCCACAGCGCUUCUUCCUUGGUCCCCCAAGCAGGCUCCAUAACUCCAAGACUUCACGCAGCCUUUUCUGAACUUGGAAGUCAAGAGAAAAUUCACAGAACUUUGGAAAAUACAUUUUCUUUUAAGGAAGAAUUUUUUGUUUUCAUUUCAACAGCCCUGGCUGGUGAUGAGGGGUGAUGCGAGGUGCCCUGUUUUCCAUCCUAACACCUAUUUCCAGGUGGGGGCAGGGAGGGCUCCAACCUGAAAUGUUAUUUCAAAACCUUUCCGGGCCUUGCAGCUCCAUUUCCAGGCCACAUGCUGCAAAGCACGGCACGAUUUCCCAUUACGUGCUGUUGCCCUUUCUCGUCUGAGCACCUUUCAAAGUGGGAAGACCCAGCCUGCUGCAACACCCUCCCUCCUGUCCCCAUAAAUUAAGUCUCACUGCCUGAUGUGAGGCUUAAAUAAAUAGCCUUGCCCGGCACCCGAUGGCCACACUCCUGAUAGAUGGGCUUGCCAAGAGCAGCAAACUCAGCUCGCUCCUCCUUGCCCCUCCACAGAGAGAAGAUGAAACUGGUGUUUUGCAAAUGCUUCCUGCCUGCUUUCUGCCAGCCAAGGCACAUUCCAAGAAGGAGCAGGCCAGCAAAGUCUUGUCAUCUGACGGGGUGAGGACAGAGAUGGAUGAUGCGCUCUUUGCCAGAGAAGGCCACGUUCAGACACUCCCAGAUAGCCAGCUGCCACUUUAUUAACAGCAAAGAUCCCCAUCUGAACGAGGCUGGGAAAGAAAAUAUUUAUGCUUGCCUGUCAGGAGGACCUUCAUUUUUCUUCUGGGGAGCCAGCCAGGGUGCUAGUCCAGGGAUGGAGGAGUGUGACGUGCCUAUGGGGUUGCCCCAGGCCCUUCUGCAUCCCAGGGUUGAUGGAGAGUCCAGAAUGUUCCCAGGGCAGCUCUGGAUGGGGUCGGGAGGUUUCAGAAGAGCUGGAUAUAGGGAGUUCAGGGCCUGAGAAAGCAGAACACACCCUGGCACCUGUUAACUGCAAACAAGAGGACCUGGGUGGGGGAGUGGGUGCUACAGUUAGAAAUCAGUGGCAAAUAGGCCAUUAAAUGAUCUCAUUAUUAAUUAAAAACACAUAGCAGCAUGCAUCUGAUAAGAAACUUUGUACUAAGGAUAAAAUAAUUUUGUAUUGGCAGAAAAUAUCAACACUGGAGCAGAGCUUAUCAUUUAAGCUGGGCAUAUAUUAAAAUCAGUUUAUAUUAUUACUCUUCUCAUGGUCAUUAUUUUGAACAAAAGUUGAAAACCAGUUCUUUAACGGUUUC